UACGUAGGGUGCAAGCGUUGUCCGGAUUUAUUGGGUUUAAAGGGUGCGUAGGCGGUCUUAUAAGUCAGUGGUGAAAUACGGCAGCUCAACUGUCGAGGUGCCAUUGAUACUGUAGGACUUGAGUACAGACGAGGUAGGCGGAAUUGACGGUGUAGCGGUGAAAUGCUUAGAUAUCGUCAAGAACACCGAUAGCGAAGGCAGCUUACUAGGCUGUAACUGACGCUGAGGCACGAAAGUGUGGGGAUCAAACAGG
rnacentral:rRNA from 1 species